AUUGAACGCUGGCGGCAUGCCUUACACAUGCAAGUCGAACGGUAACAGGUCUUCGGAUGCUGACGAGUGGCGAACGGGUGAGUAAUGCAUCGGAACGUGCCCAGUUGUGGGGGAUAACUGCUCGAAAGCGCAGCUAAUACCGCAUACGACCUGAGGGUGAAAGCGGGGGAUCGCAAGACCUCGCGCAAUUGGAGCGGCCGAUGUCAGAGUAGGUAGUUGGUGGGGGAAAGACCUACCAAGCCGCCAGUCUGUAGUUGGUCUGAGAGGACGACCAGCCACGCUGGGACUGAGACACGGCCCGGGGUCCUACGGGAGGCAGCAGUGAGGAAUUUUGGACAAUGGGCGCAAGCCUGGUCCAGCAAGGCCGCGUGCAGGAAGAGGGCGUUCGGGUUGUAAACUGCUUUUGUCAGGGAAGAAAUCCUCUGGGUUAAUACCCCGGGGGGAUGACGGUACCUGAAGAAUAAGCACCGGCUAACUACGUGCCAGCCGCCGCAGUAA
rnacentral:rRNA from 1 species